rnacentral:rRNA from 1 species
ACGGGUGAGUAACACGUGGGCAACCUGCCCUUGAGACUGGGAUAACUUCGGGAAACCGGAGCUAAUACCGGAUAAUAUAAGGAACCUCCUGGUUCCUUGUUGAAAGAUGGUUUCGGCUAUCACUUAAGGAUGGGCCCGCGGCGCAUUAGCUAGUUGGUGAGGUAACGGCUCACCAAGGCGACGAUGCGUAGCCGACCUGAGAGGGUGAUCGGCCACACUGGGACUGAGACACGGCCCAGACUCCUACGGGAGGCAGCAGUAGGGAAUCUUCCACAAUGGACGAAAGUCUGAUGGAGCAACGCCGCGUGAGUGAUGAAGGCCUUCGGGUCGUAAAGCUCUGUUGUUAGGGAAGAACAAGUGCGAGAGUAACUGCUCGCACCUUGACGGUACCUAACCAGAAAGCCACGGCUAACUACGUGCCAGCAGCCGCGGUAAUACGUGGGUGGCAAGCGUUAUCCGGAAUUAUUGGGCGUAAAGCGCGCGCAGGUGGUUUCUUAAGUCUGAUGUGAAAGCCCACGGCUCAACCGUGGAGGGUCAUUGGAAACUGGGGAACUUGAGUGCAGAAGAGGAAAGUGGAAUUCCAAGUG